GCCAGUUUGGUGUAGUGGUUAAAGCAUCAGGCUAGAAACCAGGAGACUGUGAGUUCUAGUCCCUCCAUAGGCA
rnacentral:tRNA from 1 species